rnacentral:lncRNA from 1 species
UCUGAGGCUCCCUGCGACUGAUCCCCUCCAUUUCUGCUCCUCUGGCCAGCCUGGACUGUGAGCUUCACUUGGAGAAGUUUUACAAGUGGAUCUCCAGCGGCUUGGAGGAGAAGAAAACCUUCCUCAGUGCUUGUGGAAGCUGAACCAGCACUGUCCCCUUUGUGAACGACCCCUCGGUGCAGUAGAAGGAAAAACCCUGAGAGAGAGCUGCGCCUGCUGCUGUCUGCGAAGAGAUCUGCGGCCCCGGGGAUGCAUCAGGACGGGCAGGAGCCGGCGGAGGCUGAGCUGCAGGAGGGCCG